AAGUGCUGGACAAGCCGAUGGGAGGCAUCAGGCUGUAAUUAUUGGACACAUCCGGUUUGUAUCCCAAGCGGACGGCUUUUGUGUCAAAACCCAAGUGCCGGGACUCUUCAGACAUUUUCUCAGCUAAAACAGUUUUAUGGAUUCGUUGUGCCCAUUAUUCGUCAACUGCGUGCAGAUGGAAAAAUUUACCAACAUGGCGGGGCACUCCAGCGUUAUCAUCGCGAUGUCAGGACUAAUCUUGAUGAUAACUUCACAGUGGAAGACCGAAGAGGAAGUGAUGAGUACCCACCAAGUCCACUUGACUUUAAAUCUUUAUUUGGGGAGGGGGCACCUAAAGGUUUCAGGUUACAGCACAAAAUCAUCACUCCAACAACUAAGGCAUUGAAAUGAGAGAAACUUUGGUGAAAAUUUGUCAGCCAGUUAUUCGCCGUUGUUAACACUGCCUAGAAGUUAACGGUUGUAAUUUUGAUUGUCUGUCAUAGAUUCCCAUGUACCAAAAGCUAUUUCUUCUGCACACACAAAAUACUAAUUUUUUUUUCAGAAUUACGUGAUGGGUAUUUUAUUUGUGGAAAGUUGUAUACAUUUAUAAACAAAUUUAUUAAAAGCAGGUUGUUUAAAAAAAGAUGUAUGCACAGCAGUAACUUUGGUGGCAGCUUGUCAGUAAGUUGCUCACCGCUGACAACUCUGCCACGGAGCUAACGGUGGCCAUAUUGAAUACUUACACUAAAUUAGCAAGGUCAGUAAAUGCCAGUGCUGACGAAUGUAAUGGUAUAGCUUAUUAAAAUGUCUGUUCUUUAA